AUUGAACGCUGGCGGCAGGCCUAACACAUGCAAAUCGAGCGGAUGAAGGGAGCUUGCUCCUGGAUUCAGCGGCGGACGGGUGAGUAAUGCCUAGGAAUCUGCCUGGUAGUGGGGGAUAACGUCCGGAAACGGGCGCUAAUACCGCAUACGUCCUGAGGGAGAAAGUGGGGGAUCUUCGGACCUCACGCUAUCAGAUGAGCCUAGGUCGGAUUAGCUAGUUGGUGGGGUAAGGGCCUACCAAGGCGACGAUCCGUAACUGGUCUGAGAGGAUGAUCAGUCACACUGGAACUGAGACACGGUCCAGACUCCUACGGGAGGCAGCAGUGGGGAAUAUUGGACAAUGGGCGAAAGCCUGAUCCAGCCAUGCCGCGUGUGUGAAGAAGGUCUUCGGAUUGUAAAGCACUUUAAGUUGGGAGGAAGGGCAGUAAGUUAAUACCUUGCUGUUUUGACGUUACCAACAGAAUAAGCACCGGCUAACUUCGUG
rnacentral:rRNA from 1 species